AAUCAACGCUGGCGGCGUGCCUCAGACAUGCAAGUCGAACGAUUAAGACUUCCUUCGGGAAGUGUAUAAAGUGGCGCACGGGUGAGUAACACGUAAGUAAUCUACCUUCGAGUGGGGAAUAACAUCGGGAAACCGAUGCUAAUACCGCAUAAUGCAGCGGCAUCGCAAGAUGACAGUUGUUAAAGGAGCAAUUCGCUUGAAGAGGAGCUUGCGGCAGAUUGGCUAGUUGGUAAGGUAAUGGCUUACCAAGGCUACGAUCUGUAUCCGGUCUAAGAGGACGGUCGGACACACUGACACUGAAUAACGGGUCAGACUCCUACGGGAGGCAGCAGUCGGGAAUUUUGGGCAAUGGGCGAAAGCCUGACCCAGCAACGCCGCGUGAGGGAUGAAGUAUUUCGGUAUGUAAACCUCGAAAGAAUGGGAAGAAUAAAUGACGGUACCAUUUAUAAGCUCCGGCUAACUACGUGCCGGCAGCCGCCGUAACAC
rnacentral:rRNA from 1 species